CAAAGAUAUUGGCAAACUUAUAGAAAUAUAAGGACGCAAAGCUAGAAGUCUAAGGCAGAUAUGCAUAGAUAGUUCGGUUGCAAUG
rnacentral:ncRNA from 1 species